rnacentral:rRNA from 1 species
UACGUAGGAUGCAAGCGUUGUCCGGAAUUACUGGGCGUAAAGGGCUCGUAGGUGGCCAACUAAGUCAGACGUGAAAUUCCUCGGCCUAACCGGGGAACUGCGUCUGAUACUGGAUGGCUUGAGUUUGGGAGAGGGACGCGGAAUUCCAGGUGUAGCGGUGAAAUGCGUAGAGAUCGGGAGGAACACCGGUGGCGAAGGCGGCUCACUGGGCCGGUCCUGACGCUCAGGCGCGAAAGCGUGGGUAGCAAACAGG